rnacentral:rRNA from 1 species
GGAAUUAUUGGGCGUAAAGGGCGCGCAGGCGGUUCCUAACUCUGAUGUGUAAGGCCACGGCUCAACCGUGGAAUGGCAUUGGAAACUGGGGGACUUGAGUACAGGAGAGGAGAGUGGAAUUCCACGUGUAGCGGUGAAAUGCGUAGAGAUGUGGAGGAACACCAGUGGCGAAGGCGGCUCUCUGGCCUGUAACUGACGCUGAGGCGCGAAAGCGUGGGGAGCGAACAGGAUUAGAUACCCUGGUAGUCCACGCCGUAAACGUUGAGUGCUAGGUGUUAGGGGUUUCGACGCCCUUAGUGCCGAAGCAAACGCAUUAAGCACUCCGCCUGGGGAGUACGACCGCAAGGUUGAAACUCAAAGGAAUUGACGGGGGCCCGCACAAGCGGUGGAGCAUGUGGUUUAAUUCGACGCAACGCGAAGAACCUUACCAGGUCUUGACAUCUUCUGGCCGCUCCAGAGAUGGAGUUUUCCCCUUCGGGGGACAGAAUGAACAGGUGGUGCAUGGUUGUCGUCAGCUCGUGUCGUGAGAUGUUGGGUUAAGUCCCGCAACGAGCGCAACCCUUAAUCUUAGUUGCCAGCAUUAAGUU